UGAGCAAUCUGCCCUUCUCAUCGGAAUAAGCGUUGGAAACGACGUCUAAUGCCGAAUACGACCUCCUUUCGCAUGAUCGGAGGUGGAAAGCUCCGGCGGAGAAGGAUGAGUUCGCGGCCUAUCAGCUAGUUGGUGUGGGUAAUGGCCCACCAAGGCGACGACGGGUAGCCGGCCUGAGAGGGUGACCGGCCACACUGGGACUGAGACACGGCCCAGACUCCUACGGGAGGNAG
rnacentral:rRNA from 1 species